UGGAAGAGCAAACACAAACGGGUGUGCGCCGAGGUAAACAAACUCGGUGGCGCCGCCCUCUCCUCCCGGAGCUAGGAAAGAGGUGCUGAGACGACUCAGGGCUGGGGGCUAGGAUUGCUGCAGGAUGCGCAAGGGAAGGAUUAAAUUGGAUCGCCUGAGGCUUCAAGUUUGCAGACUGCGCAGUGCAUGGGAAUCAACUGAGCAUAAAAUACGUUUAGUAGGAGAAAACAUUUUAAAGCCAUGGGGUGUGUUUAGAAUGAAAAUCUGCGGUAAUAUAAAACCAGGGACUCUACAUUUUAGUGGAUUUAACAAGAGUCAAAACCCCACCGACCACCUUUGAGAAGCAUCACAUUAGGAACUGCCCCGUCAGGCUACGCCAGCCUGGCCUCCGUAACCAUCGUAAAUUAAGGACGAAACCAAGAGACAGAGUAAUGUCUGGACCUUCCACCACCUGUAUGACUUCUUAAAAGUAACAAAUCAGAAACAACAGCUCUAAGUGUUGAGAACGACCUCUCAGGCAACUGGUUUCCUUCCUAGCUCAAAACAGCAAAAUGCCUAUCAGUUGGAAUGCCUGCGAAAUUUACUCAGGAAAAAACCCGCCAUAGACCCUGUAGGGUUCGCCAACAGUUCACCGCUCCAAUCUGAGUGUUCUUAUUCAGACAUACACGAUACCAAAACUGAAAAGUCGCUCACAAGUGUGACCGAUGCUUGGAUUUUUCUUAAAAGAGCUUCUUUUCAUAAUCCCUUUAGUUUACUUCAGAGCCAAAGACUAAACAGCCUUUUGAAAAAGUUUUUCUUUGUCUGAGCCCCGUGAAUUUCCUUUCUGCCCAACCCCCCAACAAGAACUCAUUUCUUUAUUCGUGUUAACAGUCUUUUUUUUUUUUUUUUUUUGGAACGGUGGGGGAAGAGAACCUGAGGCCCCUCGUUUUCGGAGUUUCAUUUUUAUGCAAGCUGCUACCCUUAACAGUUUAGCAUUAUUCAGACAGUCCUUGAGAGGACUGUCCCAGCAUUAAACAUUCAUAAUCUGCAGACAAAGAGAAAGAGCAGCCUCGUGUAGAGUUAGGAACAAGAGUUUUCUCACCUACUUUUGAGAACCGGUCUGAUAGCUCCCAGGUAAAACUUGCAUAUAGUUCUAAAGGUAUAUGUUCAUGUAUAGUUUUUUAUCAUUCUCUUUAAAGAUGAAAGUUUCUUUGUGAACAAAAAUGCCAUUGUUGUAGACAAUAUCCAAGUUCGUGUGGUGGCGAAGUCUAUAAAUUUAAAGAGAGCAGCCUGGAGCUAAAAGUUAUGUUAGCAGAUUCAGUUCAUGCUAAGACAAAGAAAGGCUGGGGCACACAAUUACAGAUAAAAUCCUUAGUUACAUAGAACCUUCACCUACAUCAUUGCAUUUAAUGUGGUAAAUGAAGCUGCUGUUCUGUUUUGCAUUUAAUUUUUGUCAAUUAAUGAGUCUUAGCUGAGCUCUCCAUAACCUGGUUCCCAGGGUCAAUAAUUAAACUUGGUUUAUUCUUC